UACGUAGGGUGCGAGCGUUAAUCGGAAUUACGGGGCGUAAAGCGUGCGCAGGCGGUCUGCUAAGACAGGUGUGAAAUCCCUGGGCUCAACCUAGGAAUUGCGCUUGUGACUGGCGGGCUAGAGUACGGUAGAGGGGGGUGGAAUUCCUGGUGUAGCAGUGAAAUGCGUAGAGAUCAGGAGGAACACCGAUGUCGAAGGCAGCCCCCUGGGCCUGUACUGACGCUCAGGCACGAAAGCGUGGGGAGCAAACAGG
rnacentral:rRNA from 1 species